CAAGUCGAACGGGAAUCUUCGGAUUCUAGUGGCGGACGGGUGAGUAACGCGUAAGAAUCUAACUUCAGGACGGGGACAACAGUUGGAAACGACUGCUAAUACCCGAUGUGCCGCGAGGUGAAACCUAAUUGGCCUGAAGAAGAGCUUGCGUCUGAUUAGCUAGUUGGUGGGGUAAAGGCCUACCAAGGCGACGAUCAGUAGCUGGUCUGAGAGGAUGAGCAGCCACACUGGGACUGAGACACGGCCCAGACUCCUACGGGAGGCAGCAGUGGGGAAUUUUCCGCAAUGGGCGAAAGCCUGACGGAGCAGCGCCGCGUGAGGGAGGAAGGUCUUUGGAUUGUAAACCUCUUUUCUCAAGGAAGAAGUUCUGACGGUACUUGAGGAAUCAGCCUCGGCUAACUCCGUGCCAGCAGCCGCGGUAAUACGGGGGAGGCAAGCGUUAUCCGGAAUUAUUGGGCGUAAAGCGUCCGCAGGUGGUCAGCCAAGUCUGCUGUCAAAUCAGGUUGCUUAACGACCUAAAGGCGGUGGAAACUGGCAGACUAGAGAGCAGUAGGGGUAGCAGGAAUUCCCAGUGUAGCGGUGAAAUGCGUAGAGAUUGGGAAGAACAUCGGUGGCGAAAGCGUGCUACUGGGCUGUAUCUGGCACUCAGGGACGAAAGCUAGGGGAGCGAAAGGGAUUAGAUACCCCUGUAGUCCUAGCCGUAAACGAUGGAUACUAGGCGUGGCUUGUAUCGACCCGAGCCGUGCCGAAGCUAACGCGUUAAGUAUCCCGCCUGGGGAGUACGCACGCAAGUGUGAAACUCAAAGGAAUUGACGG
rnacentral:rRNA from 1 species